rnacentral:rRNA from 1 species
UACGUAGGGUGCGAGCGUUGUCCGGAAUUAUUGGGCGUAAAGAGCUCGUAGGUGGCGGGUCACGUCGGGUGUGAAAGCCCGGGGCUUAACUCCGGGUCUGCAUUCGAUACGGGUCUGCUGGGGUCCGGCAGGGGAGACUGGAAUUCCUGGUGUAGCGGUGAAAUGCGCAGAUAUCAGGAGGAACACCGGUGGCGAAGGCGGGUCUCUGGGCCGAUAUUGACGCUGAGGAGCGAAAGCGUGGGGAGCGAACAGG